rnacentral:misc_RNA from 1 species
AAAAGCUGAUUAUGAGUCAGCUGCAGGAUGAAGUAGAAUGCUUUGGCUUGAGUUUCGCCAAUUGGAUUAACAGCCAUACUUCAUAUGUGGAAGCUCUUAACAGCUGGCUGCAAAACUGCAUCCUGCAACCACGUGAGCGAACCAAAGGCAGAAGAGCAUUUUCCCCUAGACGAGUUCUGGCCCCACCAAUAUUUGUGCUUUGUCGCGACUGGUCCACUGGGAUUAAAUCUCUGCCUUCUGAAGAGCUUAGUGAUGCCAUCAAGGACUUCUUGUAUGACCUGCGGCAUUCAGUUGGACACCACUCCGAGGAACUGCAAAAGAAAGAAACUACUCCUGAACCGGGGAAUGAGGAAUUGGAAGGGAAAGAUGAAGAGAAGAAUGAUGAGAAGUCAUCAAAUUUGAAUUGCAUUCACUCGAGUUUAACAAGGGUUCUGGACCGUCUGACCAAGUUUUCUGAGGCUUCUUUAAAGAUGUGUGAAGAUAUCAGGCAGAAAUGUGAUACAGCUCGAAAUGCAUAUCUGAACUAUCGACCAGCACCAAGAUCCUUUAGUAUAUGAUUGCAU